GACGAACGCUGGCGGCGUGCCUAAUACAUGCAAGUUGAGCGCCGAAGGAUGAUACUUGUACCAACUGGAUGAGCAGCUAACGGGUGAGUAACGCGUGGGGAAUCUGCCUUUGAGCGGGGGGCAACAUUUGGAAACGAAUGCUAAUAACACAUAAAAACUUUAAACACAAGAUUUAAGUUUGAAAGAUGCAAUUGCAGCACUCAAAGAUGAUCCCGCGUUGGAUUAGCUAGCUGGUGAGGUAAAGGCCCACCAAGGCGAUGAUACAUAGCCGACCUGAGAGGGUGAUCGGCCACAAUGGGACUGAGACACGGCCCAAACUCCUACGGGAGGCAGCAGUAGGGAAUCUUCGGCAAUGGACGAAAGUCUGACCGAGCAACGACGCGUGAGUGAAGAAGGUUUUCGGAUCGUAAAACUCUGUUGGUAGAGAAGAACGUUGGUGAGAGUGGAAAGCUCAUCAAGUGACGGUAACUACCCAGAAAGGGACGGCUAACUACGUG
rnacentral:rRNA from 1 species